AUUGAACGCUGGCGGCAUGCCUUACACAUGCAAGUCGAACGGCAGCACGGACUUCGGUCUGGUGGCGAGUGGCGAACGGGUGAGUAAUAUAUCGGAACAUACCCAGUAGUGGGGGAUAACUAUCCGAAAGGAUAGCUAAUACCGCAUACGAUCUGUGGAUGAAAGCAGGGGAUCUUCGGACCUUGUGCUAUUGGAAUGGCCGAUAUCUGAUUAGCUAGUUGGUAGGGUAAAAGCCUACCAAGGCGACGAUCAGUAGCUGGUCUGAGAGGACGACCAGCCACACUGGAACUGAGACACGGUCCAGACUCCUACGGGAGGCAGCAGUGGGGAAUUUUGGACAAUGGGGGCAACCCUGAUCCAGCAAUGCCGCGUGAGUGAAGAAGGCCCUCGGGUUGUAAAGCUCUUUUGUCAGGGAAGAAACGGAGUUCUCUAAUAUAGGAUUCUAAUGACGGUACCUGAAGAAUAAGCACCGGCUAACUACGUGCCAGCAGCCGCGGUAAUACGUAGGGUGCAAGCGUUAAUCGGAAUUACUGGGCGUAAAGCGUGCGCAGGCGGUUUUGUAAGUCUGAUGUGAAAUCCCCGGGCUCAACCUGGGAACUGCAUUGGAGACUGCAAGGCUAGAGUGUGUCAGAGGGGGGUAGAAUUCCACGUGUAGCAGUGAAAUGCGUAGAGAUGUGGAGGAAUACCGAUGGCGA
rnacentral:rRNA from 1 species